rnacentral:rRNA from 1 species
GACGUAGGGCGCGAGCGUUGUCCGGAUUUAUUGGGCGUAAAGAGCUCGUAGGCGGCUCGUUGCGUCGGCUGUGAAAACCCGCAGCUCAACUGUGGGCUUGCAGCUGAUACGGGCGGGCUUGGAUUCGGUAGGGGAGACUGGAAUUCCUGGUGUAGCGGUGAAAUGCGCAGAUAUCAGGAGGAACACCGGUGGCGAAGGCGGGUCUCUGGGCCGGUACUGACGCUGAGACGCGAAAGCGUGGGGAGCGGACAGG